GGCGGCGUGCUUAACACAUGCAAGUCGAACGGGAUCCAUCGGGCUUUGCUUGGUGGUGAGAGUGGCGAACGGGUGAGUAAUGCGUGACCGACCUGCCCCAUGCACCGGAAUAGCUCCUGGAAACGGGUGGUAAUGCCGGAUGUUCCAGUUGAUCGCAUGGUCUUCUGGGAAAGCUUUCGCGGUAUGGGAUGGGGUCGCGUCCUAUCAGCUUGACGGCGGGGUAACGGCCCACCGUGGCUUCGACGGGUAGCCGGCCUGAGAGGGCGACCGGCCACAUUGGGACUGAGAUACGGCCCAGACUCCUACGGGAGGCAGCAGUGGGGAAUAUUGCACAAUGGGCGCAAGCCUGAUGCAGCGACGCCGCGUGAGGGAUGGAGGCCUUCGGGUUGUAAACCUCUUUUAUCGGGGAGCAAAGCGUGAGUGAGUUACCCGUGAAUAAGCCCCGGCA
rnacentral:rRNA from 1 species